rnacentral:rRNA from 1 species
GCGCGAAAACUUUACAAUGCGGGAAACCGUGAUAAGGGAACUCCGAGUGUCCGUAAAUGCGGACUGUCCGUCUGUUUAAAAAGCAGGCGAAGAAAGGGCCGGGCAAGACCGGUGCCAGCCGCCGCGGUAAUACCGGCGGCUCGAGUGGUGGCCACUAUUACUGGGCUUAAAGCGUUCGUAGCUGGGUCGUUAAGUCUCUUGGGAAAUCUACCGGCUUAACCGAUAGGCGUCCAAGGGAUACUGGCGAUCUAGGGACCGGGAGAGGUGAGGGGUACUUCAGGGGUAGGAGUGAAAUCCUGUAAUCCUUGGGGGACCACCUGUGGCGAAGGCGCCUCACCAGAACGGCUCCGACAGUGAGGGACGAAAGCUGGGGGAGCAAACCGG